rnacentral:tRNA from 1 species
GGAGAGAUGGCCGAGCGGUUUAAGGCAGCGGUCUUGAAAACCGCCGUGGCAGCGAUGCCACCGUGGGUUCGAAUCCCACUCUCUCCGCCA